GUUUAAUGUGAAAAUAAAUGUGCUUAAUUUAAUUAAGGUGUCGUAAUAAAUUAAAAUUCACCAUAUUUAUUCAUUUAACCUAAAAUUAUAAAUAUAGGUGGUUCGUAAUGACUGGUAUGUAAACUAUUGAAGAUUUCGUAUUAAUUUCAUGUAUUAAGUGCAUUUGUUUCUUAGUAUGAAGAACAUUUAACAAAAAAUGAAGAAUCUUUUGUGGGUUGGAAAAGUUCCAUGUAUGUUAAAUAUUCCUCAUGGAACCAUAGAUGCCAAAAACCACUUCUUUUAGAAACUUUUUAGAAUGUACUAUAGUAUGGCAGAAUACCCUUUUAAGUCCACUUUACAGGGUACUAUAGGAGAUUGGGAUACCCCCAAUGUUUUGCUGUCUGCUCAAUGACCAGCAGAGGGAGCAAAUGCUCUAAAAUAGAAGCACGUGCGACCUGACUCAAUAUGCUUUCAUUAAAAAUUAAUUGAGGUAAUUGAUAUGUAGGACUGCUUAUAGUAAGAAUCAUAACCCCAAGUCUUCUUUACAGGACAAACAUGACAAAUAGAGGUGUACACUUUUUACAGAUUAAUUUUGAAUUUAUUCAAAAAUAUAUACCGUGUAGUAAUGUGACUUAACAUAGACACAGGAAAUAAAGAACGUGACCCCAGAGCCCGGUAAUAAUUUUCAAGAAUUUUAUGUCAGUAUGCCGACGGAAAGCCACUCCCCUUUAAGACAUCAUCAUCAUCAUCAUCAUCCCCACAUCUCCUCCUCAGCUCGCCGCUGCUGCUGCUGUUCUUCUAGUUAUUGAUGUAAUGGAGAAGAAAGCGAGCGAGGGAUUCACAGUUUAGUCACUACAUUCUUUCUGCCAACAUCCUAAAGCUUGAAGGCGGAAAUCCCUUUGGCUAGACCCAAAAAAAAAAAGACAGAUUAAUCUGGUUGACAUACAGAUUCUUCUUAAUUGUCCCGUGGGAGAAAAGAAACGCACGAGCAUAAUCAUGAAGAGAUUAACGGGCAAGACGAAAGAAGCCACUUUGAUAGAAAUGUCCAACACGCUGGAUUCUCAGAUUGAAGAUGGGCUGCAUAAUACAGUGUCUGACAGUGUGACUCGUUCCACUGUCUCUUCUGUGUUUAUCAGUGCAUUGUCACCCUGGGCUGCCACUCAGAAGACAGAGUCUCUUAUCAGAGCAGACCUCAUGUUAUCCUCUUAAGAGCGCGCAACACUGACACCCAUGUGAACCCUGAAUAGAUUUCAGAGUCCUCCCUGUCACACCAUGCCAGCUGUAUUUGUUUUAUGUGUUUGCAUGAGUGGUUUCCUUCCCUUGACCUCUCUUGUAAGGUAUAGAGAUGAAUUUAGUUACAGAGGUACUCUACUAAAAUGUUUCCACAGUUCAACUGAAAUAAAAUGCCAGCUGUAUUUGUUUUUAUGUGUUUGCAUGAGUGGUUCCUUCCCUUGACCUCUCUGUAAGGUAAUAGAGAUGAAUUUAGUUACAGAGGUACUCUACUAAAAUGUUUCCACAGUUCAACUGAAAUAAAAUAAAAUUACUAGAUUUUUUUCUCUAAAGAACAUAUCUGAAUUAAAAUGGUUUAAUUGUCAUACCACUUGCAGACAACAGCCAACAAGUGAGGCUAUGCUUGUCGGUAACUAGGAAAGAGAGUGAGAGUUGUUGCUAUGGUAACAGGCUCUUUAAUUUAGUUUUCUCUUUGAUAGCCAUACUGUAUGAACAAGUAGUUGACCCAGUAAAAGUCAUAAAUAAACUCUUAAAGGGAUCAUUCUGUUUUAAGGAAACCUUUUUUUAUUUUUUAAAUAAUCAUGACUCUUGAGAAUCAACAGAUAGAUAAGAAAAAUAAACAUUCAACAUAUUUAAAAUAUAAAAAAAAAUGCAAGAUACAGCUUUUUUCCUUCAGUCUUUUAUAAAUAUUUUAUGCAUCGGUUUGUGUGUACAUGACUCAGAGGUGUUUGUUUCUGUUUUUAUGUUAUGAAUGUAUUUAUCAGUAAAUGUAUUUACUUUCUUGCUCCUGACCUCGCAGUGUAGUUAUUAUUUGCUUUGCUACAUAAGACUUUGGUGGCGAUUAAGUACUCAAUUCCUCAGAGAUGCAAUUGAAUCCUGUUGAUAAAUAUACAGUUCCUAUGUUAUUGUGCAGCUUUUUAAAAAGACUUUGUGCCGGACACAAGAUGUGGUUUGGCACUGUGGUUUAGUUGCUGUUAAUGUGGAAUAGCUAUUCUGUGUUCUCUGACCUGAUUCUAUGGCAUUUCCUUACACACUUUUCCUGUUGAGAGUUAUGUGUUUUGUCAUGCAUUAAGAGUGCAGUGAUGUAAGCUCGAUUCAUUCAGCUGAUAAAAAAUUCAGUUCACUUUAUAUUCCUACUAUAGCGAGUCAUGUGAUACGUGAGGAAUUGUGAAUAUAUUUUCGGCCCAUCUGCUGAACAAGCUCAGCCCAUCUCGGUCGAUCUGCUGAACCAAAAAAAAAAAAAAUGGAUUCAGUGAAACUGUUGAUGUGUUUACUAGGAAAUUACUGUGGGGGCCACAGGUUUGUAUUCAGACAGGUUUUAUCAACACUACUGCUGCUUUUUCCCUCUCUGCUUCAAAGUAUUACACAAAGGUGCCAUUAUCAAAGCCUUCUUUCCCAGUAGGCCUAAUCAUCACCCAUAAUAGCACGAUCAGAGGAAGCCUGCGAGACCACAACACCUUCGUCUCUGCUCAGAGCAAAUGUUGGUUUUCUCAUAGAUAGGAAACAAUAGAGACCAGAC
rnacentral:lncRNA from 1 species